GAUGAACGCUGGCGGCGUGCCUAAUACAUGCAAGUCGAGCGAACAGACGAGGAGCUUGCUCCUCUGACGUUAGCGGCGGACGGGUGAGUAACACGUGUAUAACCUACCUAUAAGUCUGGGAUAACUUCGGGAAACCGGAUCUAAUCCCGGAUAAUAUAUUGAACCGCAUUGUUCAAUAGUGAAAUACGGCUUUGCUGUCACUUAUAGAUGGAUCCGCGCCGCAUUAGCUAGUUGGUAAGGUAACGGCUUACCAAGGCAACGAUGCGUAGCCGACCUGAGAGGGUGAUCGGCCACACUAGAACUGAGACACGGUCCAGACUCCUACGGGAGGCAGCAGUAGGGAAUCUUCCGCAAUGGGCGAAAGCCUGACGGAGCAACGCCGCGUGAGUGAUGAAGGUCUUCGGAUCGUAAAACUCUGUUAUUAGGGAAGAACAAAUGUGUAAGUAACUAUGCACGUCUUGACGGUACCUAAUCAGAAAGCCACGGCUAACUACGUG
rnacentral:rRNA from 1 species